rnacentral:lncRNA from 1 species
CGGCUGCUGCUCACAGAGUGUCAGCCUCGCUCACUUGCUUGCUGGCUCUGUAGCUGGAGUGGGGACCCUCUGCCCAACAGGAAGGUUAUCGAGCAGGCUGGGUGUGGCACCGUGACAGAGACAGAGAUGGGAGGCCCGCAGGACCCGGACUAUGACUAAUAUUUGUAAGUCCUUAAUAAGUUGGAUAGCAGAAUAAAAAUAAAGAUAAAAAGAUAAGACACCGUGGAAGCUCUGAAAGGAAAAGCACCAUCCUUCUUCACCCUGCUGAGCCCAUGCCGCGCACUCAGGUAACUGCUGGUAAGUUUUUCUAGCUUUAGAGCUUUUCCUGUGUCCCUUUCUUUUGCAGUCCCAGGUAUGGGUCCCAGCGCC